rnacentral:misc_RNA from 1 species
AAAAAACUGCGUAGGAGAUCAUUAAUACAAUAGUAUUAUAUAAACUAAGCCUGAUGUUGGCCGCUCAUUCAAAGAAUGCAGCAGUGUGACAGCCAGCAAUCAAAAGUAACAAGAUGUCGAGGAAAUGCAGAGUGCAAUAAACUGUGUAGGAGAUUAUGAUUGUAAUAGAAUAAAAUCGACCAAGCCUGAAGUCCUUCAAUGCACGCAGCAGUGUGACAGCCAGCAAUCAAAAGUUACAAGAUAUCGAGGAAAUGCAGAAGGCAAAAAACUGCGUAGGAGAUUAUUAAUACAAUAGUAUUAUAUCAACCAAGCCUGAUGUCGGUAGCUUCUUCAAUGAAUGCAGCAGUGUGACAGCCAGCAAUCAAUAGUGACAAGAAUCUAGG